UACGGGAGGCAGCAGUGGGGAAUUUUGGACAAUGGGGGCAACCCUGAUCCAGCCAUGCCGCGUGAGUGAAGAAGGCCUUCGGGUUGUAAAGCUCUUUCGGCCGGGAAGAAAUCGUGUUCUCUAACAUAGGACAUGGAUGACGGUACCGGACUAAGAAGCACCGGCUAACUACGUGCCAGCAGCCGCGGUAAU
rnacentral:rRNA from 1 species